GCUACACUUGCUUUCUUGCAACUUGAGAGUGAAAGAAGGGGAAGCUAGACUAGUUGAGCCCAACUUUUGUAGGUUGGACUGGGGUCCUGUUACAGCAGAUGUGCUUUUGUUAGUCCAUAGUCCCCCUGAGGACCACCACCCUUCCCUGAUAGCAGCCGGCCUUCCCCCAUUUCAGUGCUCCCAUUCAUCUCUAAAUAAGCAGCUUCGAGGACAUGCAUUCCAGCUGCUCAGAUCCUGUUCUUCAUCCUCCUGACACACUCUGCACAUGAAGAUCAAUGGAGCCAAGGACAGCGUGUAAGGGGAUCCAGGGCCAAGGAGGAGAGCUUGUGUUUUAUUUGUUCGCAGCCCCGUUUGAUUUGACCCUCUCCGGUUUCAUUCAUCCGGAAAAUCUGCUGUGCGUGAGUGAAAACUGAGGGAGUGGGUCUCACUUGAUACUCGGAUGUAAUAAGGAACUGCCAGUCAUGUUAAAGGGAUAAUCCUCCCAGAAAUUAAAAUUCUGCCAUCACUCAUCCUCAUCUUUCUUCUGUGGAGCAUAAAAGAAGAUAUUUUGAGAAAAGUUUUUAAGUAUUUUGACCAUACAAUGGAAGUCAGUGAUCAUUAAACUUGAUAGGUUACCAGCAUUCUUCAACAUAUCUUUAUUUUAUUCUCUGCAGAAGAAAUACAUUCUUAAAUUAUAUGAAGGUGAGUAAAUGAUGAACCAAUUUAAUUUUGGGUUGAACUGUCCAUUUAAAAUAACAGCAGUUUUAGAAAAGUAUUUGAAUGUUUUGAAAUAUAGGCAAAGAUUAAAAAAAAAUGCAUAUCCUGUCAGUGAUAGAAAAGUGUAAUUGAACAGUAUCUUUUUUAAGGUGCAUGUGUAUUGUUCUGAUCUCAAUGCAUACACUUGAACAUAGUUUCUCAGAAAUUGCACAGAAAUAUCAUAUUAUGGACAACAGAAAACAUAGGAUAAGGAUGCAACAAGAAAAAUAUUUGGGGGUCGCUGAGUGCAUUGCUCGUUUAGGCAUGACAGAGAUAUGACUUUAAUCCAGUAUUUUGUAAUUAACCUCCGGGCUUUCCUGUGUGCUCCUAAUUACUCCACAUAAACAAUGUGGGAUCAGUGCUAAUCUGAAAGAGCCCAUUCAGAGGCUUUCAUGUGGGGCAUCUAAUGGGCUCUGCAGGCGGGGGAGUGCAGGCUGAUCUGGAGGACGUGGUGGUGGUGUUGGGGAGGAUUCACAGGAGGGAACCAUUGACAGAUCAUCCACACUGGAUACCAGGGCUGAGGACCUAAACUCAACCUGGUUUCCACUCUGAACCACUAAACCCACACAACAAAUGCAGUGUCUGCUAGUCUUGAUGCACGCUUACCGCUUAAGUAAAUUGAUCGUGUGACUCUCAUACUGACGGUCAGAUGUUCUUCAUCCAUUGAAGCUCAAGAUGCUCUUUCCAAUUUAUCCCAAAUCAUGUUGGAGAACAUCAUCUUCAGAUUUCACACAAACUCGUGCAGAUCAAGUACUGAGGGACAAUCCAAAUAAUAACACAUUUGUUUGGCUAUUUUGUAAUGGAAAAGAAAAAUUAAUUAAAUGAUAACGAUGCAAAAUGGAAGCAUGCUGUAAAUCGAAGGGGCCCCAGACGUUUAUGCAUAUUUGUGUGAUUAAAUUAAAUACA